ensembl:lncRNA
CCACUCAUAGCAAUCUUGAUGUUUUCCCUUCUGCUUGGCACAGGGGGCAAAGAUAUCCUCCACCGCAGGUCAAUUCCGACCAGUUUCCUAAGGAGAGGCACAGAGACAAGAGCAGGCAUGUGACAGAGAGGUGGAUGGUCCAACAGUUGUGGUCACCCAUGGUCUCAGGGCCUGUCAGAGCCCCUGGCACCUGAAAGGUGGAGGCUGUGUGCAGGCAUGUGUCUUGUGUGCACGUGAGUACAUGCAUGUAUCAACUGCAUGUGAGAUGCUCUAUUCCCCAAAGUCCAGUCGUCCUAGACCAGCAGUGAAUCCAGCAUACAGGGUUGCAGGAAGCAUCUUCUUAUCUGCCAGGAGGGGCUGCCUGCUGCAUUUGGGGGCUGCUGGCUGCAGAUGGCCAGAUAUUACAUUCUGCUCGGUCUCCCAUCUGGUGGCUGCUCUGGCCAGCCAGGAAAAUUCCCCACAGGCUGUCUCUGGGCUCUGGACAAGCCACUCUGCCACACCCCGACCCUCCAGUGACCCUCAGACAGGACUGUGUUCAGCAAUCCGGAGGAUCCACGCCCUCCAGCAGAGUGGCCCCCCUGCCCCUGCCCAAGGCAGCCUCUCUGCCCUCAUCUCCCAGUCAGCUUCCCCAGAGCAGGGGCCAAGAGCAUGGGAUUUGACACCCGAUCCACCAGCGAUCACGUCCUGGCUCCACUGGGCAUUUGCCUAACCUCUCUGACCCUCAGUUUCCUCUUUUGUGAUCCUACAUCAUGGGGCCACUGAGAGGAUAAAAUAGGAGAUGAAGCAUAUCAUGUAGGGUCUCCCCACCUCUGCACUGCUGACAUAAUGGUCCAGAUAAUUCUUUGUGGUGGGCGCAGCCAUGCGCACUGUAGGGUAUUAAGUGGUAUCCCUGGUCUCCACCUCUCCCUCAGUUGUGACUACCAAAAAUGUCUCCAGGCAUUGCCAAGUGUCUCCUGAGGCACAAAGUCAUCCUGUUGAGAAGUACGGGGGUAGACUGUUUCCUGGUGUGUAGUGUCAUGUCAGCAGUGAUGGAUGGAGGCUAUCUGGGGCUGGCAACCAUUUUCUGAGUUAAAAGAAACUGCACUGCUGUAAGGUGCUUAGAACAUUCACAGGCACACAGAAAUACUCAAUAAACAUUAGCUAUUAUUGUUGUUGUCUUGCCAAAAGACCUUUCUAGUCCCCCCUAGACUAGAAAGUCGAAUGAGGCUUUGAAACCUGUAGUGUGGUUCAGUGUUCAUUCAUCAAACAUGUAUGGAGAGCUACAAGGCAGCCUGGGAAGGAUAUAGAUACAGACCCAGUUCCUAAGUAGGUAACAGGAAGGGGUGCAGGAAGAGCAAACACCAGAGGCUGGAAAAGUCCCUGCUUUCAUCCCACAGGGCAGCUGAUACUUUGGAGGAGAUGUGCAAAAAUGGAAACAGCUCAAGCAUGGUGGCUCACACCUGUAAUCCCAGCACUACGGGAGGUCGAGGAGGAAGGAUCACUUGCUCGGGAGUUCAGGACCAGCCUGGGAAACAUAGGGAGAUCCCGUAUCUACUAAAAUUCAAAUAAAAUUAGCCAGGCAUGGUGGUGUAUGCCUGUGGUCCCAGUUAUUCAGCAGGCUGAGUUGGAAGGAUCGCCUGAGCGCAUGAGGUCCAGGCUGCAAGGAGCCCUGGCUGUGACACAGCACUCCAGCCUGGGCAACAGAGCGAGACCCUAUCCAAAAAAAAAAAAA